GUGAGAUCAUGGGGGAAAUGCUUAUUCCUUUCCUCAUUGCCUUAUUUUUUUAUGAGCAUGAAUCGCUUUUAUGUAUUUAUUUAUUUAUUUAUUUUAGAGAGAGAGAGAAUUUUUUAAUAUUUAUUUUUUAGUUUUUGGUGGACACAACAUCUUAAUAUUUUUUAUUUUUAUGUGGUGCUGAGGAUCGAACCCAGCGCCCCGCUCAUGCCAGGGCGAGCAUGUUACCGCUUGAGCCACCUCCCCAGCCCUCUUUAUUUUAUUUUUUUAUGACCACAAAUUGCUUUCAUAAUCAGAAAGCAGUCAGGAUAUAUGCUCUUCAGAGGGAUGGGAGAGUAGAAAAAGGGGCAGUAGCAGCCAGAACAGGAUGGAGAGGGUGUCUUUGAGAGAACCUCAGAAUCAGCAGGACAUGAAGAUUAAGAGGUACGGGGGAGAGAGGUGGGAGAGAAUGCUAGUCCUGAUGGGCUGGAUUAGGGGAGGAAACAACCUGAGCCUUUGUUCAGUAGUUUGAACUUUUUCCAAAAGGCUCUUCUCCUUCCAAAGAGAAGCCAUUGAAAGGAAAGGAAAUAAAUGGGUCUGGGGCCUGAACACUCACCUAGCACUGUGAGGCCUUGAAAAACAAAAACAAAACACAGGGAAAUGACAAGAUCAGAUUUGCAUAAGAUUACCUGGCAGCUAGGCAGGGCAGUGGGGCAAGCCUGUAUUCCAGCUACUUUGGAGGCUGAGGCAGGAGGAUGACAAAUUGGAGGCCAGCCUGGGAAACCUAGUGAGACUCUUCUAAAAAAAAAAAAAAAAAUUAAAAAUGACUUGAGUUUGGAUUGGUAGAAUGCCGCUGGGUUCAAUCCCUUGUGUUUCCAUCCCCCCACCCUCCCAAAAGAAAAAGGUUACUUGACAGAAUAUUGAAACUUGACCUCUUUCUCUCACAUGUACAGAAAUCAACUCAAAUUGGAUCAAAAAGGACUUUAGUGUAAGACCUGAAAUGAAAUUUCAAGAGGAAAAUAUAGGGAAAGCUCUUCAAGGUACUGGUAUAGGCAAUGGUUUUUUAGGCUAGGACUCCAAAACUACAGGAAACAAAAGCCAAAAUUGACAAAUGGAGCUGGGCACAGUGGUACAAACUUGUAAUUCUAACUACUCUGGAGGCUGAGGUAGGAGGAUCAAAGUUUGAGGCCAGCAUGGGCAACUUAGCAAAAAACUUAAAAAAAAAAAGGAAAAAAAAGCAGCUUAGGAUGUAGCUCAGUGAUAGAGCAUUUGCCUACCUAGCAUAUGUGAGGCCCUGGGUUCCACAUCCCUAGUACCACCAAAAAAAAAGAAAAAAAACAAAUGGAACCACAUCCCACUACCUCUGCACACCAAGGGCAGCAAUCAUAGAAUGAAGAGACAAUCAUUAUGGGAGAAAAUGUUUGCCAGCUAUUUAUCUGACAAAGGGUUAAUAUCCAGAAUAUAUAAAGAACUAAAAAAAACCUUAAGGACAGAAGCACAAGUAAUCCAACUUAAAGGUGGGCAAAUGAUCUGAAUAGACCUUUCUCAGAAGAAGAAAUAAAAAUGGCCAAUAAAUAUGUGAAAAAAUGCUAAAUAUCAUUAGCUGUCAGGGAAAUGCAAAUCAAAACUACAAGAUACCAUCCAACCCAGUUAGAAGGGCUAUUAUCAAAAAGAAAACAACAGGGCUGGGGAUAGAGCUCAGAUGGUAGAGUGCUUGUCUCCCAUGUACAAGGCCUGGGUUCAGUCCCCAGCACCAAAAAAAAAAAAAAAAAUCUUGGGUAUCACUAUAUCCAAGAGAUGGCAUCAGCCUAGGUGUCUAUUGACAGAUGAAUGGGUAAAGAAAAUAUGGUACAUACUCACAAUGGAGUAUUAUUCAACCAUAAAGAAUGAAAUUUUCUCAUUUGCAGGGAGAUGGAUGGAACUGGAGGAUAUCACAUUAAGUGAAAUAAGCAGACACAGAACUACAAGCUUUGCAUGUUUUCUCCCAUAUGUGGAAACUUAAAAAAAAAAAAGUCAACCUAAAAGUAAAAGAGUGAUUAAGGACUAGGAAGGUGAUGU
rnacentral:lncRNA from 1 species